GACGAACGCUGGCGGCGUGCUUAACACAUGCAAGUCGAGCGGUAAGGCCCUUUCGGGGGUACGACGAGCGGCGAACGGGUGAGUAACACGUGGGUGGACCUGCCCUCCAGCUCUGGGAGUAAGCCUGGGAAACCGGGGUACUAAUACUGGAUAUGACUCCAUGACGCAUGUUGUGGGGUGGGAAAGCCUUGUGCGGCUGAGGAUGGGCCC
rnacentral:rRNA from 1 species